CUAGACACACCCAAAUAACGCACUACUGAAGGAAAAGUACGGAGGAAGGACAGAAGGGGGUGGUUUGCCAAAGAAGGGAAGAAAUGUAAAAGAAAGAAUGACUAACCAAGUUUGGCAGCAAAGUGUUUUUUGUCGUCAUCCUGAAACAACCUGGCCUGAAUUAAAAAAUACAGCAACAGGCGUGGCUCACGCCCCAAGACUGGCCGCAGAGAAACCGCAGGACAGGAGAGACGUGCGCACGACAGGGAGAGGAGGGAGCGACAGACUGUCAACAGGAGGACAGAAAGAUGCCGAGGGCACACGCUGUGGGAAAGACCGCUACAGUGAGGGGGAAAGGACACACCCAUGUGUAAUGGGCUGCUCGGCUGAACUUCGCCACAGUGCAGUGUGCAACGCCGUGCCACAUGGCAGUGGACUCCGGUCCACAGAGACCAGAGCAGCCCCUUUUCUAAUCUAUUCAAUGCUAUCGAUCGAAGCCCCUUUUGGAAUUGGAAAGUCAAAAUCUCCCACGUUCCAUGAUACUAAUUAACUGCUGCAGAAGGGGGACCGGAGUUCCCCGUUACUCAAGCAAUGGGGGAAAUGUUCCCCCAAAUCCGGGUACAGCACGGCUGCAGCUCAGAGGGGUCUACAGUGUCCCUUUCAGCAGACUUAAAAAAAAAAAAAAAAAAAAAAAGCCUGAGUUUAGCCCAGCGAGGGUAGCCCAGGGACUGAUCAGAACAGCACAGGCCGAAUGAAAGGCAGCAACCUCUGAGCCUAAGGGAACCUGAACUGAAGAGUGCUGUAAACAAUGCUUUCAGGACUGUGUGUAUAUGAAAGGGGUAAGAUACUACCCACAAGGUGCAAGUGAAACACCGAUGUGGAACAUUCUAUCGGUAUACCCAAAGGUACAGGGCUGCUUAAACCACAGGCUUUUGUUUUUUUUUGGGAAAGCCCACACCAACAUCAACGGUGCUUGGGAAUCAUAACUUUCGGCUUAGCUAAAGAAUGUGAAAUCAAACCGUUGCAGGUAGGCUCCUGUUAGUCACCCUGGAUGACAUUUGAAGUUAACCGGUGUCAGGCCAAGACAUGAAUGCCAACGAAAACACGUGUGGUUACCGUGAUGCUGUACUACGCAAGAGGCAAAGAUAUAAUUAAGGUUUGACCAGUACAAACAGCGCUUUCUCCUAUCACAGUGACACACACGUAGGCUAUUCAACAGCACGGUGGGGGAACUUAAGGACGCUUCCCCAGCAGCCGCGUAAAAAACUUGGAAGUGUUGAAAAAUAAAUGGUCGUACGGUUUAAAUUAAGCAGAAAGUGCAAUGUUACGUCAUAACCAAACGUCCAGUGAAAUGCAUCCCAACUGGAAGCCCUUUACCCUCGUAUAGGUUUUAAAACGCUCUGGCCUGUGCCUACCUUGUGUUGGUACUGUUCCAGAAGACAACGUGUCUCUUCGCCAAUGCUGCGGAGACUACAUGUAGCAUAAAAACGGUCGUCCUCCAAGCUUUGGAAGUUCCAGGACACCAAAGCCAACCCAUGACGCCUGUCGGACACUGUUUGUGGAUGAGGAGCAGUCUCCGGUGGUCGUUUUGGUCGAAGUAGGGGGUUGGGUGAGUUAGAGACAGGUAAAAUAUACGGCAGAACGCCUUGGGGAAUAAUUUUUAAAAAAAGGUAGUCUAGUCCAUCCAGUCCCGAUCAACGGUUAAUUCAUGCACGCCA